rnacentral:lncRNA from 1 species
GGUACAGGGAUGGAGAGGAACUCUAGGUAUCUGCUCCAGGGGUCACCGAGGACUGAGAUGGUUCAUAAUGUGGAAGCUCACUGCUUCCCUUGGCUUCUUCGCCACCCCUCCCCCUCUCUAGGCCUGCUUCCAGUCUGUAGUUCACCUGCUUCCAAAACCAGGACCUUCAUCACGAACACAGAUCCAAGCUGAGACACUCAAAAGUCACACCUGAGACCCCAAGACAGGUGGAAGGACGUUGGACCCCAGGACCUAGGACUGUGCAAUCAAUGCUCCAACCCCACAGCAGACCCUCACUCCCAGUCCUUCGGCUCCCAGCACCCAUUUUCUUCUCCAGGAAGCUCAUGGCCUCUAUCUUGCCAGGUCUCCUGGAGUUUCCUGGCUGGACAGGAUGUUCAGAUGAGAGGGGACCAAAAGCCUCUACAUACAACCAGCAUUGCAGAAGCCUCUGGAAUCUUCUCCUGCCAUGUUCUUAGCCAUCAGGAGCAGCCAGGGCAUUUGUGAGCUGGGUUGAGGCUGGGACAACAGGGGACCUGGGGACUGUUAAGAAGCAAGAACAUGUCUGCUUCUUUUAUGACCUUCAAUAUUAGUCACCAGGAAGUUGCCCCAUGAAGCCCACGUCCUCAUAUCACUAACUCGGCUUGAAUUGAUUAAGGAGACUCGGAUGA